rnacentral:tRNA from 1 species
GCUGGCGUAGCUCAGUUGGUAGAGCAGCGGUUUCGUAAACCGCAGGUCGAUGGUUCGACUCCAUUCGCCAGCUCCA